rnacentral:rRNA from 1 species
AUUGAACGCUAGCGGCAGGCCUAACACAUGCAAGUCGAGCGAGCGGCGGACGGGUGAGUAAUGUAUUAGGACUGCCUGAUAUAGGGGGAUAAAUACUGGAAACGUUAGCUAAUACCGCAUACUAUCGGAUAACCCAUAGUGGAUUAACUAGUAGUUGAGGUAAUGGCUCACCUAGGCGACGAUCCCUAGCUGGUCUGAGAGGAUGAUGCGCCAAGAUGUGAAUGAGACACGGCCCACAAGCCGACGGAGGCAGCAGUGGGGAAUAUUGCACAAUGGGCGCAAGCCUGAUGCAGCCAUGCCGAGUGUAUGAAGAAGGCCCUAGGGUUGUAAAGUACUUUCAGUCGGGAGGCGUGACCGACAGAAGAAGCACCGGCUAACUCCGUGUCAGCAGCCGCGGUAAUUC